UUCAUGUAAUUUCAUGAAACAAGUAAUUUCAAACCUUUGAAUUAAACUUUCUCAUUAAAAUUCACUUUUGAUCUUUCCACAUCCAUGUUCUGAUCAUGGGAGUAAAACUGUUCACAGUAAGCUAAAGAAGGAGAAUCUGCUUAAAUAUGAGACUGUUUUACCUUUCGAAUUACCUCUUCUCACAUUUUUACAUAAUUUAGUUGACUUAUUUCACAAGGAUUAAAUCGAAAGAAAAUAUUUGUCAUUUAGUGGUACUUUUGAUUUGCCCUGAACUGGACUAGCGUUUUCUAGGUAUAGAAUCAUAUCAUCUGUAAACAGAGAUAGUUUAACCUCCUCCCUUUCUGUUUGAAUGCCUUCAAUUUCUUUCUCUUGCCUGAUUGUUCUGUGUAGGGCUUCCAGUACUAUGUUGAAUACGAGUGGUGAGAGUGGGCAUCUUUGUCGUGUUCUGGUUCUCAAGGGGACAGCCUCUGAUUUUGAUGCUGCCUUUGGGGUUGGUUUACUCUUAUUUUUCUAGUUCCUCUAGGCAUGAUGAUAAGUUAAUUUGAGAUCUUUCUAACUCUUUGAUGUGGAUGUUUAGUGCUAUAAAAUUCCCUAUCAACACUACUUUAGCUAUGUUCUAGAGAUUCUGGUAUGUUGUAUCUGUUUUCAUUACUUGGAAAUAUUUUUUCUUUUUUUUGCCUUAAUUUCAUUGUUUACCCAAAAGUCAUUCCAAAUCAUGUUGUUAAAUUUCCAUUUAAUUGUGUGGUUUUGAGUGAUCCUCCUUGUAUUUAUUUCUAUUUUUCUUGUGUUGGGGUCAGACAAUGUGGUUGGUAUUAUUUCAGUUUUUU
rnacentral:lncRNA from 1 species